rnacentral:rRNA from 1 species
AACGAACGCUGGCGGCAUGCCUAACUCAUGCAAGUCGAACGAGACCUUCGGGUCUAGUGGCGCACGGGUGCGUAACGCGUGGGAACCUGCCCUUAGGUUCGGAAUAACUCCCCGAAAGGGGUGCUAAUACCGGAUAAUGUCUUCGGACCAAAGAUUUAUCGCCUUUGGAUGGGCCCGCGUUGGAUUAGCUAGUUGGUAGGGUAAAAGCCUACCAAGGCGACGAUCCAUAGCUGGUCUGAGAGGAUGAUCAGCCACACUGGGACUGAGACACGGUCCAGACUCCUACGGGAGGCAGCAGUGGGGAAUAUUGGACAAUGGGCGAAAGCCUGAUCCAGCAAUGCCGCGUGAGUGAUGAAGGCCUUAGGGUUGUAAAGCUCUUUUACCCGGGAUGAUAAUGACAGUACCGGGAGAAUAAGCUCCGGCUAACUCCGUG